GAUGAACGCUGGCGGCGUGCCUAAUACAUGCCAGUCGAGCGAACAGACGAGGAGUUUGCUUCUCUGACGUUAGCGGCGGACGGGUGAGUAACACGUGGAUAACCUACCUAUAAGACUGGGAUAACUUCGGGAAACCGGAGCUAAUACCGGAUAAUAUAUUGAACCGCAUGGUUCAAUAGUGAAAGACGGUUUUGCUGUGACUUAUAGAUGGAUCCGCGCCGCAUUAGCUAGUUGGUAAGGUAACGGCUUACCAAGGCAACGAUGCGUAGCCGACCUGAGAGGAUGAUCGGCCACACUGGAACUGAGACACGGUCCAGACUCCUACGGGAGGCAGCAGUAGGGAAUCUUCCGCAAUGGGCGAAAGCCUGACGGAGCAACGCCGCGUGAGUGAUGAAGGUCUUCGGAUCGUAAAACUCUGUUAUUAGGGAAGAACAAAUGUGUAAGUAACUAUGCACGUCUUGACGGUACCUAAACAGAAAGCCCCGGCUAACUACGUG
rnacentral:rRNA from 1 species